GACGAACGCUGGCGGCGUGCUUAACACAUGCAAGUCGAACGGUAAGGCCCUUCGGGGUACACGAGUGGCGAACGGGUGAGUAACACGCUGGUGAUCUGCCCUGCCCUUCGGGAUAAGCCUGGGAAACUGGGUUUAAUACCGGAUAGGACCACUGCCUGCAUGGGUGGGGGUGGAAAGCUUUUGCGGUGUGGGAUGGGCCCGCGGCCUAUCAGCUUGUUGGUGGGGGGGUGGCCUACCAAGGCGACGACGGGGAGCCGGCAUGUAAGGGUGACCGGCCACCCGGGGCCUGAAAUCGGGCCCAGACUCCUACGGGAGGCAGCAGUAGGGAAUAUUGCUCAAUGGGCGGAAGCCGGAUGCAUCGACGACGCGUUGGGGAUGACGGCCUUCGGGUUGUAAGCCGCUUUCAGCACCGACGAAGCGCAAGUGACGUUAGGUGCAGAAGAAGGACCGGCCAACUACGUGCCAGCCGCCGCCGUAA
rnacentral:rRNA from 1 species